rnacentral:misc_RNA from 1 species
GGUGAAGAACGUAGCGAAAUGCGAUAAGUAAUGUGAAUUGCAGAAUUCAGUGAAUCAUCGAAUCUUUGAACGCACAUUGCGCCCGCCAGUAUUCUGGCGGGCAUGCCUGUUCGAGCGUCAUUUCAACCAUCAGGCCCCCGGGCUUGUGUUGGGGACCUGCGGCUGCCGCAGGCCCUGAAAAGCAGUGGCGGGCUCGCUGUCACACCGAGCGUAGUAGCAUACAUCUCGCUCUGGGCGUGCUGCGGGUUCCGGCCGUUAAACUACCCUUUUAACCCAAGGUUGACCUCGGAUCAGGUAGGAAGACCCGCUGAACUUAAGCAUAUCAAUAAGCGGAGGA